AGAGCGAACGCUGGCGGCGUGCUUAACACAUGCAAGUCGAACGCGCAGCAUUCUGUAGCAAUACAGGGUGUGGGCGCGUGGCGAACGGGUGCGUAACACGUGGAUAACCUUCCUUCAGGUGGGAAUAACCCAGUGAAAAUUGGGCUAAUACCGCAAUAACAAAACGAUGAGACAUCUUGUUGUUUUCAAAGGCGCAAGUCGCCAGAAGAGGGAUCCGCGGCCGAUUAGCUUGUUGGCGAGGUAAUGGCUCACCAAGGCAAUGAUC
rnacentral:rRNA from 1 species